rnacentral:rRNA from 1 species
ACGAACGCUGGCGGCACGCCUAACACAUGCAAGUCGAACGGAGUUAGCGAGAAGUUACUUGAGCUAACUAGUGGCGGACGGGUGAGUAACACGUGAGUAACCUGCCUUCAGUGGGGAAUAACGGCUGGAAACGGUCGCUAAUACCGCAUAAUGUCUUGGAGUCGCAUGACUUUGAGACCAAAGAUUUAUCGCUGAAAGAUGGACUCGCGCCCGAUUAGCUAGUUGGUGAGGUAAUGGCUCACCAAGGCGACGAUCGGUAGCCGGACUGAGAGGUUGAACGGCCACAUUGGGACUGAGACACGGCCCAGACUCCUACGGGAGGCAGCAGUGGGGGAUAUUGCACAAUGGGGGAAACCCUGAUGCAGCGCCGCCCGCGUGAGUGAAGAAGUAUUUCGGUAUGUAAAGCUCUAUCAGCAGGGAAGAUAAUGACAGUACCUGACUAAGAAGCCCCGGCUAACUACGUGCCAGCAGCAGC